rnacentral:rRNA from 1 species
AGUUUGAUCCUGGCUCAGGAUGAACGCUAGCUACAGGCUUAACACAUGCAAGUCGAGGGGCAGCGGGAUUGAAGCUUGCUUCAAUUGCCGGCGACCGGCGCACGGGUGAGUAACGCGUAUCCAACCUUCCGUACACUCAGGGAUAGCCUUUCGAAAGAAAGAUUAAUACCUGAUGGUAUGAUGAGAUUGCAUGAUAGCAUCAUUAAAGAUUUAUCGGUGUACGAUGGGGAUGCGUUCCAUUAGGUAGUAGGCGGGGUAACGGCCCACCUAGCCAACGAUGGAUAGGGGUUCUGAGAGGAAGGUCCCCCACAUUGGAACUGAGACACGGUCCAAACUCCUACGGGAGGCAGCAGUGAGGAAUAUUGGUCAAUGGACGAGAGUCUGAACCAGCCAAGUAGCGUGAAGGAUGAAGGUCCUACGGAUUGUAAACUUCUUUUAUAAGGGAAUAAACCCUCCCACGUGUGGGAGCUUGUAUGUACCUUAUGAAUAAGCAUCGGCUAACUCCGUGCCAGCAGCCGCGGUAAUACGGAGGAUGCGAGCGUUAUCCGGAUUUAUUGGGUUUAAAGGGAGCGCAGACGGGUCGUUAAGUCAGCCGUGAAAGUUUGGGGCUCAACCUUAAAAUUGCAGUUGAUACUGGCGUCCUUGAGUGCGGUUGAGGUGUGCGGAAUUCGUGGUGUAGCGGUGAAAUGCUUAGAUAUCACGAAGAACUCCGAUUGCGAAGGCAGCACACUAAUCCGUAACUGACGUUCAUGCUCGAAAGUGUGGGUAUCAAACAGGAUUAGAUACCCUGGUAGUCCACACGGUAAACGAUGGAUACUCGCUGUUGGCGAUAUACUGUCAGCGGCUUAGCGAAAGCGUUAAGUAUCCCACCUGGGGAGUACGCCGGCAACGGUGAAACUCAAAGGAAUUGACGGAAGG